CUUAUUCUCAAAUUUGGUAGGGUUAGCUGGUCAUUUGGAACCAGCAGGGAAAGCAAGGUCAAUGACUCCAGGUAUUUGUUCUUGUCUCUGCCAUCAACCUGCUUGGUGUCCUUGGGUGAGACCCUUCAGACCAGGAUCUUCAUUUACAAAGUGAGAAUGGAUCGACAUAGCCCUGCUUGUAUAUUAUGUGACUCAGGAGCAGAGAAAGAAAAGUAACUAUUGUCAAUAGGAGUAACGCUGGAUUGGACAACUCCCGUCUUACUUCCUGAGGAGCAGCACUGUAGUAGCCAAGCAACCUGAAGGAUUUGAUAUAACAGCAGGAGUUUCCGGGCAAAGCCAAUGUCUGGGCCAGUGUUUGCAACCUGGAUAACAGCAUUGUUUUAGCAAUCAGAGAAUGGAAGCUGGGGAUAAAGUUUGAGUGAGGCUCGGGGAGACAAAACCAGCAUUCAUCUACAGCACAUGAAAAUGAAUUGGCCCAUCAGCUUUCAACUGAAUAUAGUAGCACUGUGUCUUGCUACAUACAGAGAGAGUGAAAGAAGGAGGAACAGAUCACAAGGUGUCACCCAGUUUUGCUGCAGCUCACGUGCUUCCAUGGGAGGACAUUUGCAUGGGCGUGACUACGAUUCAAUUGGUGAAUUUCAGAAGAAGAAGUGGUUAAUCUCAUUGCCAUCAGUACCAGUCAGCUCGAGCUGCCGGAACAGAAUACCAUAGGCUGGAUGGCUUAAACAACAGGAAUUUAUUUUCUCCCAGUUCUGGAGGCUGAGACGUCCAAGAUCAAGGUGCCAGCAGGUUCGUGUCUGCCUCUAUGCAGACAAAUAUUAUAUUUUCCGUCCACCACCAUAAUCAGCAAGUGCACCUGGGAAAAAAGAAAAAAAACAGCUUCAUAACAUCAGCUCACUUUCCAUGGUUUCUCACUCUCCAGAAUUUUUUUCUACCAAGACUUUUCAGUCAUUUCCAGUGGGAACAUUGACUGCCACAAAUAUUCUAUCCUACCUGGAAGUAGAAGUCAGAAAUACAAGCUAGCAUCUGUAUUCCUUUUUUUUUUUUUAAUGUGCAUGUAUAAUUUUAUUUGUUUUUAUUUUUUUAUUGUGGUAAGAUUGGUUUAUAGCAUUAUAUAAAUUUCAGGUGUAUAUCAUUAUAUUUUGAUUUUUGUGAGAGGUAGCAUUGAUGUUCUUAAAAAAAAUUUAAUCCUUACAGUCACCCUAUAGGAUAUGUAU
rnacentral:lncRNA from 1 species